rnacentral:rRNA from 1 species
UUGAUUACGUCCCUGCCCUUUGUACACACCGCCCGUCGCUGCCCGGGACUGAGCCAUUUCGAGAAACUUGGGGACCGCUGAUUUCAGACUCUCGGGUCUGCUUUUUGGUGGGAACCAAUUUAAUCGCAGUGGCUUGAACCGGGCAAAAGUCGUAACAAGGUAGCUGUAGGUGAACCUGCUGCUGGAUCAUUACAUUCACCGCCAAAUGUAAUUGGUCAAAUUCACCAAMCACAUAUUAGUGUGCAUAUGCCCACAUUGCAUUCAGCUUAUGUGAUGUGUGUGUGUGUGUGCUGUGUGUGAAAGAGCACUCUGCUUAGCAGGGAGUGCAAGUUGUCUGGUGCGCAGUACGCAUUUUGAUGCUCCUAUGUCAUGCGUGUCGGCACACAGAUGGCGCUAUGUAUCCGCUCAACCCGCUCACCACACACAGAGUGGUUCCACCAUGUGUCCGGUGGCAUUUGCAUUGGAGCGGUCAAGAAAACGGCUUCUGCUGGCGUCUGUGCGUUGUUGAGCAGUCGUAUUCGUCCGUGGCUGUGAUGAGACAACGUGGUAGGGCCUGUGCUGGAGUUGGCACAUGGCUUAAGACUUGAUGAGCCCGCAAUUAGUCCCAGGGCCGCCAGCAACCAAUUUUUCAAAUACAUUUUUUUUUGCAAUGCGAAAGCAUUAACCAAAAAAAUUCUAGUCUUAUCGGUGGAUCACUCGGCUCGUAGGUCGAUGAAGAACGCAGCUAACUGCGACAAAUAGUGUGAACUGCAGAAACCUCGAACACAAAAGCUUCGAAUGCACAUUGCACCAUGGGAGUCUUAUCCCUUGGUACGCCUGGUUUCAGGGUCGUAAACCAAAAACGCAAGUAAAAUGCGUUGAGUGAGAGGUGUUUCUCACUCUCCAUUGUGAUAGGUUCACUCAACACACACUCCAGAGUGUUCCUAUAAUUCAAUUAGCUAAGAGGCCGCACUGGCGUGUAGUGGGAUGAAAGCUUGAGCUUUGAAUGUGGACAUUCAAACCUAAUAGCUCGUGGACAUCGGGGACAUACCAUCCUCUCGAAUCACUACUGGCUGUGUCUGGCAACUUACACACAUACACACAAGCACACAACAGCAAAUGCGUAAUUGAUUUGCCCACACACUGUGUGUGCGUGUGUUUGCUCUCAUUUUUCGACCUGAACUCAGACGUGAAUACCCGCUGAACUUAAGCAUAUCAGUAAGCGGAGGAAAAGAAACUAACAAGGAUUCCCUUAGUAACGGCGAGUGAAA